AUCAAUUUAACAAAAGUUAUGUGGCUGAUUUAGAAUCAGUAUAUGUAAGUUAAAAUCUUAUAUUUGAUA
rnacentral:tRNA from 1 species